UGUGAGCUUAGCUAAUAAAUUUAAAAUCCAUGUUUGCAUGCAUCUGAUAUCAGAUCACUUGGCCAGUGGGUAAGGUAAAAAAAGAUUUUGUUACCCUUUAGUUGAAUUAAAUUAACUAAAAUUGGAAACUGAAUUUCUUAAAUUCUUAAAGCAACCCUUUAAGAUUCCAAUUUUGUGUUUUUGCAGAAUUUGUGCCAGCAGGUUCUUCUACUCUAAAUUCUUCACUUUUCUGAAGUGAUAUGGAGAGGUCCUCUUCAAACAAGGGGCAUCAAUCUCCUGGUGCAGGAGAGAACACCUCUGCCAUAGGGGAUGCAGCAGAAAAGGCCAAAUGGAUGGUCCAGGAGGUUCUGGAGAAGAGUUCAGGAGGAGAGGAAACAAUGGAGGAGUAAAAGAGAUUGAGCACCUUGACACACUGCACAAGACGGCAUCAUAUCCUGGUCAGCCACAUUGUUGAAAUGCAUGGGAACUCUGGAUCUCAUUCAUAGUCAGCAUUGGGUCCUUGGU